rnacentral:rRNA from 1 species
AGUGAACGCUGGCGGUAGGCCUAACACAUGCAAGUCGAACGGCAGCACAGUAAGAGCUUGCUCUUACGGGUGGCGAGUGGCGGACGGGUGAGGAAUACAUCGGAAUCUACUUUUUCGUGGGGGAUAACGUAGGGAAACUUACGCUAAUACCGCAUACGACCUACGGGUGAAAGCAGGGGGUCUUCGGACCUUGCGCGAUUGAAUGAGUCGAUGUCGGAUUAGCUAGUUGGCGGGGUAAAGGCCCACCAAGGCGACGAUCCGUAGCUGGUCUGAGAGGAUGAGCGGGCAGAAGGGAAGUGAGACAAGGGCAAGAGGCAGAAGGGAGGCAGCAGGAGGGAAGGUUGAGAAAUGGGCGCAAGCGUGACGGGGCGAAGGCGCGUGAGGAAGGAAGGUAUUCUGAUUGGAAAAUUCUGUUAUUAGGGAAAAAAAAAUGUGUAAUUAAAUAUUCACGGCUGGAGGGUAGGUAAUCAGAAAGCCACGGCUAACUACGGG